UUACUACCAGCGAGCAGUGACAACAAGGCGCCUUUGUGGAAACAACAAAACAAACAACUCAACUGCUAGAUGAGCAGUGACAGCAAGGCGCCUAAACAUGCAACACAACACAAAAAAUGCCAAUUUGCAAACCUUGAUGUGGACACCGAGUAGUCAAUACAUACGUGUGGCGUACAGCUGCGACAAAAUCGUGGGUUCAUCGCACCGAUAACUCGAACAUUGUCCCGUGUAUGGACAUCAGUGCAACUUUGUGAAUCCAUGUAACUUUGUGAAUCCAUGUAACUUUGCGAAUGUGUGUCGAUCGAAAAAUGUGAACAUUCUGAACUGAAACGAACUCGGUGUUGCAAGUGGCAAUUGUUGACAGUGUGCAUGUUUAUGUUUAUGUUUUUACAUGAAAAAUAAAGGAGAUUGUUCUCCUA